GGGGAAUGGAGGGGGGGAAGAGGAAUCCUCGCAAAAGACAGGCAGCACUGUCCCCAGGCUGCACGGGAGCUGUCCACUGCAGGGGCAGCGCUGUCCCCAGGCUGCACAGGCGCUGUCCACUGCAGGGGCAGCACUGUCCCCAGGCUGCGCAGGAGCUGUCCACUGCAGGGGUAGCGCUGUCCCCAGGCUGCAUGGGCGCUGUCCACUGCAGGGGGCAGCGCUGUCCCCAGGCUGCAUGGGAGCUGUCCACUGCAGGAGCAGUGCAGUUCAGCAGAGACGGCGGAGCGUGGGCAUCAGGGGCUGCUUCUCCUUGUCACUGGUUGAGAGAACAAAUGUCUG
rnacentral:lncRNA from 1 species